AUUGAACGCUGGCGGCACGCCUUACACAUGCAAGUCGAACGGUAACAGGUCUUCGGAUGCUGACGAGUGGCGAACGGGUGAGUAAUACAUCGGAACGUGCCUAGUAGUGGGGGAUAACUACUCGAAAGAGUGGCUAAUACCGCAUGAGAUCUACGGAUGAAAGCAGGGCAUCGCAAGACCUUGCGAUUCUAGAGCGGACGAGAGCAGAUUAGUUAGGUGGUGGGAUAAAAGCUUACCAAGCGGACGAGCUGUAGCGGGUCUGAGAGGACGAUCAGCAACACUGGGACUGAGACACGGCCCAGACUCCUACGGGAGGCAGCAGUGGGGAAUUUUGGACAAUGGGCGCAAGCCUGAUCCAGCAAUGCCGCGUGCAGGAUGAAGGCCUUCGGGUUGUAAACUGCUUUUGUACGGAACGAAAAGCCCCGGGUUAAUACCCUGGGGUCAUGACGGUACCGUAAGAAUAAGCACCGGCUAACUACGUGCCAGCAGCCGCCGUAA
rnacentral:rRNA from 1 species